UACGUAGGCAGCAAGCGUUGUUCGGAGUUACUGGGCGUAAAGGGUGCGUAGGCGGCUUCUUAAGUCUGGUAUGAAAUCUCCCGGCUCAACUGGGAGGGUGCGCCGGAUACUGAGGGGCUAGAGUGUGGGAGAGGAAAGUGGAAUUCCUGGUGUAGCGGUGAAAUGCGUAGAUAUCAGGAGGAACACCGGUGGUGUAAACGGCUUUCUGGACCAUAACUGACGCUGAGGCACGAAAGCUAGGGGAGCAAACAGG
rnacentral:rRNA from 1 species